rnacentral:tRNA from 1 species
GGGUGUUGCUCAGUGGUAAAGCACAUGCUUGGCAUGCAUGAGGUCCUGGGUUCAAUCCCCAGCACCAAAAAAACA